UGGGGAAUAUUGCACAAUGGGCGCAAGCCUGAUGCAGCCAUGCCGCGUGUAUGAAGAAGGCCUUCGGGUUGUAAAGUACUUUCAGCGGGGAGGAAGGGAGUAAAGUUAAUACCUUUGCUCAUUGACGUUACCCGCAGAAGAAGCACCGGCUAACUCCGUGCCAGCAGCCGCGGUAAUACGGAGGGUGCAAGCGUUAAUCGGAAUUACUGGGCGUAAAGCGCACGCAGGCGGUUUGUUAAGUCAGAUGUGAAAUCCCCGGGCUCAACCUGGGAACUGCAUCUGAUACUGGCAAGCUUGAGUCUCGUAGGGGGGGGUAGAAUUCCAGGUGUAGCGGUGAAAUGCGUAGGGAUCUGGAGGAAUACCGGUGGCGAAGGCGGCCCCCCGGACGAAGACUAACGCUCAGGUGCGAAAGCGUGGGGAGCAAACAGG
rnacentral:rRNA from 1 species